GACGAACGCUGGCGGCGUGCUUAACACAUGCAAGUCGAACGGAAAGGCCCUGCUUUUGUGGGCUGCUCGAGUGGCGAACGGGUGAGUAACACGUGAGUAACCUGCCCUUGACUUUGGGAUAACUUCAGGAAACUGGGGCUAAUACCGGAUAGGAGCUCCUGCUGCAUGGUGGGGGUUGGAAAGUUUCGGCGGUUGGGGAUGGACUCGCGGCUUAUCAGCUUGUUGGUGGGGUAGUGGCUUACCAGGGCUUUGACGGGUAGCCGGCCUGAGAGGGGGACCGGCCACAUGGGGAGUGAGAUAGGGCCCAGACCGCAACGGGGGAAAGGGGGGGGAAAUGGGACACAGGGGGCGGACGUCUGAAACAAAGACGCCGGGUGGGGGAUGGCGGCUUGCGGGUGAAAAACCGCUUGCGCCUGGAACGAAGGGGGAGUGACGGUAAGGAAUAAGAAAGCCCCGGCUAACUACGUG
rnacentral:rRNA from 1 species